rnacentral:lncRNA from 1 species
AUAUGCAAAACCUAACUCAGUAGUAAUAUAAUUCUCUUACAGAGCUGCCAUUUCCAUGCUAGGUAUCCAUUCCGUCAAUUUCGACCAGAACAAUGAGAACCGAGUUACAGUUUACAAAAUGCGAUCAGCUAAACUUUACCUGUGAACCAGAUGGUGGCUGAUUAAUUGCCAUGCCUGAAGCAAGUAUACUUUACUACUGCCCACACAACCUGAGAAAAAAAAAACGAAAACAUGAAAAUCUAGCAAAUAGAAAUACAUACAUACAAUAUAAAUUAAAUCCGAAAAUCGCACUUAAUUGAGAAGGAAACGGAGUUCCACAGAAACAAAUCCUCCUCGGGCAGAAUCGAUUUUCAGAGGUUUAGAACAAAAGGUGAGAGAUAUGAACCCUAGAAGGAAGAGGACUGACUCGGAUGUCUCGAAUCCGGGUCGACAAAAUUGGGUGUGAAUAGGGGUGGAAAUCGGACGGAUCGGAUCGGAUUUGGGUGUUUCGGAAAAUUUCCGAUUUUUUUCGGAAGUCCAAAACGACUUCCGAUUCCGAUUCCGAUUUUUUCGGAAUUCAAAAAGUGAUUCCGAUUCCGAUUUUUUCGGAAUUUUCGGAAAAUCGGAAUUUUUCGGAAAUCUUCAUUUUCGGAAUUUUCGGAAAUUUUUCGGAAUUUUCCCCAAAAAAAAAAAACUAAAAAAAAAAUGAGCACCGACACAGUAGCAAAACAGAACAUACUCACACAAAAACACACAACAGACACCAAAAAUUAAAUUAAAUCAAUUGAAUGAAGAUUAAAUUUGAAUCAAUUAAAUUAGAUUUAUUCUAAAAAUACCCGAUAGAGAGAGCGGCUUUGCUGGUGGUCGUCGGAGAGCCGGGAGGCGCUGGUGGUGGUGGUCUUCGGAGAGCCGGGAGGCCUGGUUGCGAUGGUGGUGGUUGGAGAAUCGGGAGGCGCAAGUGGUGGUGGUCGUCGGAGAAUUGGGAGCCGCUGCUGCUGGUGGUGGUCGUCGGAGAGCCGAGAUGCGCUAGUGGUGGUGGUCGUCGGAGAACCGGGAGGCAGUGGUGGUGGUGGUGAUCGUCGGAGAAGGCGCUGGUGGUGGUGGGGGAGAAAGAAAGGUCGGAUUGCAGAGAGAGAGUCGGGAAAUUAGGCUGCGAAGUAAUUUUAAUAAAUUUUGAGUUUUUGACUUUUGUAUGUUUUAGAAAAUUAAAAAAUAAUAAUAUGUUCAAAUAUAAAUAUAUAUAUAUAUAUAUAUAUAUAUAUAUAUAUAUAUAUAUAUAUAUAUAUAUAUAUACUAGUGUUGGGAGCACCGCGCAAAGCGCGGUGUUGGUGCCCAUUCAAUGUAGUCCAAAAUUACAGGGUUAUUUUGCUAUAAUUCUAUUCGCAUGAAGCUAAAUACAAAAUUUGUCGCAACCUGUUUCAACCAUCACAUGUAAAAUAUGACCUUAAACUAACAUAUUUGAAAUAUUACAUGCCAUUGUAUGCAGAGAAAUCCCUUGAUUUAGUCGAAGAAGUUGAUAGAUCAUAAUAGAGAUCAGUAACCCUUCUAAUAUUGUUGUUGGACUCUCUAAUCCUGGACUCGUGAUCCACUUUAUGCAAUGUUAUAGGCAUUAGUGAAGGUUUGGUUGUCCAAUUACUACGUUUUCAAUCAAACCAAGAGUACAAGUAUUCGACGAAUUAUUAUAGUGUUUUCCACGUUUGGACAACAGCUUAUACUUCAUGCCGUUGGCAAUUACAACUAAAAAUCAUAAAUUUAAGAGUCAAAAGAACCAGCCUAUCUGUGGCAAUAUUACCGACCAAGAAACUCAAAAGAAUAAACCAAUAACUCCCACAGUGCAUAGACCAACCAAAACAAAGAAAUAAAAGAAGAAAAUAAAUGAAAACUUUUUUCGAUCUUGCAUGAAAGACUAAAAUAACAGUUUCAGCACAAAAUUAUAUUGUGUGAUUCUUUACCUGAUUUUGUUGGACGAAUCAGUAAUGUCAAUCCUUCAUUGUUAACAGAAUGACUUAAGUUAUUUGCUUUCCAGUUUAUUUCGUCAUCCUCAAUUCAAUCCCAGCUACGGCGAAUAUUAAAGGAUUCAGUAAGAUGGCAAAACAAAACGAUCAACAAAGUUCACCGGAAACUAAUCUAAUACAUAAAGAGAAAUUGAACAUCAAGAAUCAAUCAAACAAUUAAGGAUCCGUUGCUGGUUGUUACAGCUACAGAGAGCCUAAAAACCAGGACAAAAAUCCCAAAAGAGAACCAAUUUUUAAAAAAAGUUCAAUUUAUGAACAAAAAUUGAAAAAAAAAUUAGAAAAGAAAUAAUAUACCUGUUAUUGAUGCUUAAUUCAGUGAAUACCUUGAAGAAAGCUUCAAACGUUUUGCAAUCUGAUAUACAAGAAAUAGCAAAACAACAAGGAAAUAAUGUAUUUAAAACAGGAACUAAAAAAUAAAUAGAAAAUGAAGCAUAGAAAAUAGCAAUUAAAUGACACAAAUAUGAACUGAAUUAGGCUCUCCAAUUUUGACCGUAUUGUUUCAUCAUGUGAAAUAGAAUUUCAACAACCUCGAUCUCAACAUUAUGCUGAAUCACUAAUCGGAAAUUUGUGAGAUAUGCUACAAGUAGUAAUAAACUCUCCAUUAGCAAUGAGCUGUGUAUAUUGAUGAAAAUUAAAAAGUAGAAAUGAGAGAAACAAAACCAUGUAAAUAUCUUUAGGGCCACCUCUGUAAGCACAAGGAGAACACAUCGCUGGUAAACAAAACCAUGUAAACAAAAGUCGCCGGUGAGUUUCUUAAAACCAACCCAUGCAAUCUCUACUUUCGCCGAACAUCAAAUUCUCUUCCAUUCAACUUGCUGGAUAAAACCAAAAAGUAGAUAAAUGGAGGCUUGUUGGAUGAAACCAAUAAAGAAAAUAGGUCAUAGUACAAAUAUAUAUGUCUAUAUUCUAUUAGGCACCAAAAACUUAUGAUUCACAGAAGGUACCGCAAAACUUAAAACCACACAAUGGAUGUGUAAAAUUAAAAGGAAGUUGAUAAUUAAUUGUAUAUAACAAACAAAGCAUAAUUAAUUGUUAAAUGCCAAAUCACCAAGGAACCAAGAAAUUGAAGACAAAAAUAGAACACACCCACAUGCAGCGAAUAAAACAAAAGCAGAGGCAAGCAAUAUAAUUAAUACGAAGGAAAAUGAAAUUAGUUGACCUGGGUGCUACAUAGAGGUUGUCGUUCGUGUAGGCGGCGGCGUUUAUGCUCGCCGACGCUGGAAGCGGCGAGGCCCUCUCGAUUGCCUUUGGUGGUCGGCUAUAGCUUUUGAGAGAGGAGGCGCCGGAGAUAGGAGGCGCCGGAGAUAGAGGUGAAAGAAUUGAAAAAGAAAGAAAAGCGAAAAGAAAUUAAGGAAACGGGGCCACACGGAGGAAUUUUGGAAUCGACCUGCUUCAAGAAUUAAACAAAAAGAAAACAACGGCCGCUGUGGAUUGGAGGAAAAGAAAACAACGGCGCCGUUUUGAUAUUAAACGGGCUGGAAGAAAACGAGAAAGAAAAUAGAAAAUGGGGAAAAUGUGGGCCCCCACCUCCCAAGACAUAUAUAUAUAAGGGAGGUGAUAUUCGCGGUAGCAAAAUUACGAAUGUCGUUUUAAAAAAUCCACUCUCUAUCUUUCUUUCUCUCUCUACAAUUUUAGCUUUUAUAUUAGAAAUCAUUCCAAAACUCAUGUUAUUGUAGCCAUUUGCAAAAAAAAAUGAGUCCAUCGAAUGAGGAUCGAGAUACGGAAUCCAAUGAGAUAAAAUUUGUUCGUUUUUGUUCUUUAAAUCGCGAAAACGCGACCCACGACCAAUUUGGACGCCGAAAAAUACGUUUCACGCCCAAACUGGGCGCAAAAAAACUCGAUUCACGCCCGGUUUGGGCGCGCGACACAGCUUUCCGCGCCCGGUUUGGGUGCGAGUGCUGACUGUGUUUUAAUAAAAAAAAACAAAAUUGUGUUGCAACAAGGAAUCGAACCCGGGUUGUUGCAAUACAAAUGCCUGCUUGCUUAACCAAGUCGGCUACUGCCAUUUUGAUAAAUGAAAAUUCUUAUUCAAAUAUAAUUAUUUAUUUCAUUAUACUGGGCAAAAAAUUAAUAAAUACGCGUUACUACAAAGACUCGAACACGGGCCUAUUGUUUGUUAGACAAAAGACCUAACCAACUAGGCUACAGCAUGUUUAUGAAGCAGUACUUAUUUAAAUAUAAUUAUUCAUUUCAGGUAUACUGGGCAAAAAAAAAAAAUUGAACCGGACGACCGGUCCAGAACCAACGUCUGGACCGGACGCCCGAAUUAAUUUUCCACGCCCAAAAUGGGCGUGAGAAAGUUGUUUCCACGCCUAAAUCAGGCGUGGAAACUGCUUUUCCACACCCAUUUUGUGCGUGAAAAAAUCGAAAACCCAACACUAAAAAUAGCCAUAAAUCGCGAUUUUCAGGGGAUUUUCACAUGAUUAACCACAAAUUCAAUAUAUAUAACUAUUUUAGAUGAUUAAUUACCUUUCAAAUUGACGAAAUUUUCUGAUUUUGGAGGAUUUGUGAGAGAGGUUGAGGGUUUUUGUGAAUUUUGGGACUUUUGGGGAUUUUGGGGUUUGGGUGGAAUUGAGGAUUUUUAGAGAGAGAAAGAAAAGACUGUUGUGAACGACAUUCGUAAUUUUGCUGCCGCGUAAAUCAUUUCAGUAUAUAUAAUGAUACUCCCAAGACAUAUAUAUAUAUAUAAUGAUAUAUAUAUAUAUAUAUAUAUAUAUAUAUAUAUAUAUAUAUAAUAAUUGGAAAAAAAAUAUUAGUAAUUAGUACAGGCGGAUAGAUAUAUACAUAUAUUAUAUAUAGUAAGAAAUAUUAAUAAUAUUAUAAUUGGAAAAAUCGGAAUAAAUCGGAAUAAUUUCGGAUCGGAAAUCGGAAAUUCCGAAAUUCUGUUAUGUAUUUCCGAUUCCGAUCCGAUUAUUUUCGGAAUUUUUGGAAAUCGGAAUUUCGGAAUUUGGAAUUGAAAAAGUCGUUCCAAAAUCGGAAUAUUUCGGAUCGGAUUCGGCGGAAAUCGGAAUUUUCGUUCCAAUUUUCACCCCUAGGUGUGAUAGUAAAUAGGCUUAGAAUUAGAUAAUUGACCGGCCCAUUAAAUACAGGCCCAUUAGUGCAGCCCAGUUUGUUUACCCUCGGUGGGCUACGGUUUACUUCAUUCGCAACCUUCCUCUCCUCUACAGCGCUUCGCCGUGCACGAUCAAACACAGUAUGCACUCUCUCUCUCUCUCUACUCUCUCUCUCUCCAUCCAAUUGAUGAAAACAUUAUUUAUUUGUUUGUUUUCUCUUCGAUUUGAUGAUUAUAUCGAGAUUGGAUUUGAUGAAGAAAAGAGAGGUGGUUGGCGGUGAUUAUAAAAGUAAUUCCUCGUUC